CAUUAUCGAAUGAAGCUGGGGGANGCCUGUAUGGCAUUGUCGCUGGCUAGAUUCAAUUCUGGCAAGGUGCACAUCCUUGCUGUCGCUCUCCCCUCUCUUACAACCCACCUGUGCACUUGCUGUAGGUCUCUCGCAAGGGAGAUCUAUGUUUCUUCUUGUCACACCCGCGUCGAAUGUCUACAGAGUGUACACAGAGCGUCGUUUGACUGGUCUGACUUAGCUCAGUCGGGUCGAGUGGCGGUCCAUGAAUGAAAAAACAAUAACUUUCAGCAAUGGAUCUCUUGGCUCUCGCAUCGAUGAAGAACGCAGCGAAUCGCGAUAUGUAAUGUGAAUUGCAGAUUUUCAGUGAAUCAUCGAAUCUUUGAACGCACCUUGCGCUCCUUGGUAUUCCGAGGAGCAUGCCUGUUUGAGUGUCAUUGAAAUCUCAACCAUGUCUUGAUCGACCUCGAGACUUGGCUUGGAUUGUGGAAGUUUGCUAACAUAUAUCCCCCUCGAUGGGUUAGCUCUUCUGAAACGCAUUAGCGAACGGACAAGCGCAUUGUGUUGACAUGCACGGCCUUUCGACGUGAUAACGAUCGUCGUGGCUGGAGUGUCGAGCGUCGCAUGGAACUGGUCUGAUCGCUUCUAAUUCGUCUGUGAAUGCUUGACCUCAAAUCAGGUAGGAUUACCCGCUGAACUUAAGCAUAUCAUUAAGCGGANGAAAAGAAACUAACAAGGAUUCCCCUAGUAACUGCGAGUGAAGCGGGAAGAGCUCAAAUUUCGAAUCUGGCGGUCUUUGGCCGUCCGANUUGUAAUCUAGAGAAGCG
rnacentral:rRNA from 1 species